UACGAAGGGGGCUAGCGUUGUUCGGAAUUACUGGGCGUAAAGCGUGCGCAGGCGGCUUCUCAAGUCAGAGGUGAAAUCCUGGAGCUCAACUCCAGAACUGCCUUUGAUACUGGAGAGCUUGAGUCCGGGAGAGGUGAGUGGAACUGCGAGUGUAGAGGUGAAAUUCGUAGAUAUUCGCAAGAACACCAGUGGCGAAGGCGGCUCACUGGCCCGGUACUGACGCUGAGGUGCGAAAGCGUGGGGAGCAAACAGG
rnacentral:rRNA from 1 species